rnacentral:rRNA from 1 species
UACAGAGGUCUCAAGCGUUGUUCGGAUUCAUUGGGCGUAAAGGGUGCGUAGGUGGCGGGGUAAGUCAGGUGUGAAAUUUCGGAGCUUAACUCCGAAACUGCAUUUGAUACUGCCUUGCUUGAGGACUGGAGAGGAGACUGGAAUUCACGGUGUAGCAGUGAAAUGCGUAGAUAUCUGGAGGAAUACCGGUGGCGAAGGCGGCAUCCUGGACCGAUAUUGACACUGAUGAGCGAAAGCUAGGGGAGCAAACGGG